rnacentral:rRNA from 1 species
GGAAUAUUGGACAAUGGGCGCAAGCCUGAUGACGCAACGCCGCGUGGGGGAUGAAGGCCUUCGGGUCGUAAACCCCUGUCGAAUGGGACGAAUAGCCCGCGAUUUAACAAAACGCGGGAUUGACGGUACCGUUAAAGGAAGCCACGGCUAACUCUGUGCCCGCAGCCGCGGUAAUACAGAGGGGGCAAGCGUUGUUCGGAAUUACUGGGCGUAAAGGGCGCGUAGGCGGCCUGUUAAGUCGAACGUGAAAUCCCCGGGCUCAACCCGGGAACUGCGUCCGAUACUGGCAGGCUUGAAUUCGGGAGAGGGAUGCGGAAUUCCAGGUGUAGCGGUGAAAUGCGUAGAUAUCUGGAGGAACACCGGUGGCGAAGGCGGCAUCCUGGACCGAGAUUGACGCUGAGGCGCGAAAGCCAGGGGAGCAAAC